AAUGUAAUUCCUAUAACAUUGAUGCACUAAAUCCCAUUAGAACUCCAGAAUUAACUAUGCUUUGGAUAGACUAGUAUUAGGAUGGGUGACCUCUUAGGAAGUCUCAGAGUUUUACAUGC
rfam:Picea glauca, whole genome shotgun sequence.